CAAACCAAUAUUGUAAACCAAUCAUCAGUCAGUUAAAAAUAAAUAUUUUUUAAAAAACUAGGUACAGUUCAAAAUUAGACUCAAAUAACAGUACUUUUAUCUCUGUGACCAAUUGUUUGAUAUUCCAAUAUAUAUUCUUCUCUUCCUUUUUGUAACAAAAAGCUUGAUUUCAGUUCACAGCUUUCCUUGAAGCUUGGUGUGACUAUGGGACUAAUUCUAGCCAACAAAUUAGACCCUAUGAAUGGUGGAGGAUUGAGUCAAAGAGAAUUGGUUGGAGCUGUCAUUCUAGUCCAGCAUAUCCCUUUCUGAUACUUUUUCAAUACAAAUAUAUAAUGCCUCAUCAGUGGGCAAGGUUUUGAGGUGAUACCACAAAAGCAUGUGUGUGAUGCAAGAUGGGGAGAAUGGAUGAAGGAAAUCAGGGCUUAACACAUAAAAUCAGGAAUACAGAUAACAAGAAAUCUCAUCAACAGAAGCAUUUUCAAGUAUGUGAAAAUGAACGCAUCCAAAGAAGUGAGCAGUGUCUUUGAUAUUCAUUCAAUUAGACAUUGAUUCACUAUUCAGACCAAGUCAGACAAUUUAAUUCCAACAAUGACUUUAUUUAUUCAUUUGUAAAUCAACAGAAUUUCAUUUAAAAAAGAAAAGCCAAAACCCAAAUAAAUCAUUCUUUGUUAUUGACCUCA
rnacentral:lncRNA from 1 species